rnacentral:rRNA from 1 species
UACGUAGGGACCAAGCGUUGUUCGGAAUUACUGGGCGUAAAGCGCGCGUAGGCGGACCUGCAAGUCGGGGGUGAAAGCCCGAGGCUCAACCUCGGAACUGCCUUCGAUACUGCGGGUCUCGAGUCCGGGAGAGGUGAGUGGAAUUCCCGGUGUAGUGGUGAAAUGCGUAGAUAUCGGGAGGAACACCAGUGGCGAAGGCGACUUCCUGGCCUGUUCUUGACGCUGAGGCGCGAAAGCUAGGGUAGCAAACGGG